GCGUCCUCAGGGCGGAAGUGUGGCGUGGAGGGAGCCGGUGUUGUCACGUCUGUGACUCUCAGGUGUUCCCUUGAUCUGGCUUCCCAGGCUCCUGUCAAGUUAUGGCACAGCUGAUGGGCAGUCUUCCCAUCUGCAGGACCCGCCGAGGCAGCCCCCAACCGGGCAGCAGGAUGUGGUCGCUGCCUUUGAGAGACGGUCUCCUGACCCUUCUUUUCUGUUGGCUCACGGCUUCUUCCAGACCCUCCACCUGUGUGCACCUCUUCGCCCCGUGGCCUCCCCAGCCGAGGAAUCUGCUUAGCAUUUAAAGCAGAAACAGAACCAGCCCUGUCCCCCAGAAAUUGAACUUUUUGUUGUUUGUCUUCAGAAAAGCAAACCAGGUGUUGAGUCGGGCUCAUCUGGAUUGCUUCAGCCAUGGGUGAACAGCCAGACCUUCCCAUUUCAAUAUCCGCACGCCUCGUUUCUCCCUCCCUAGUGAGGGUCAGAGGUGCUUUGGUUGUGCAUGACACAGGCUACCCCAUUUCACUGCUGCAGAGCUCAGAGCUCACUGUGUAAGAAACAGAGGGAGAAGAAUUGUGUGAGUGUGAAGACCAGCGGGGAGAUGGAGGCCACUUGAUGAAGAGCCUUGAGCCCACCCCUUAAAGGAACAAGGCGCGUUUCUCCCGAGGCUCCGACAGCUGGCUCCUUCAGCUUCAGCCCCGGUUAUUGAGAUGCAAAUGUGUGCCCGCGGGGAGCGCAGCUGCUGGCUGGCGCUGAGGCCCUCGCCCCAGGUGCAGCCCUACCGAGCCAGCGCCAGCGGGGGCAGCGACGCAGAUGACCCUCCUAGGACAAAUGGAACCGUGGACCCUGUGCAGGAAGAAAGGCAGGUCAACAGUGUAUCCAGCACUGGGGGGCCAGGAUGAGCCCCCCGCCAGCCCGUGUGUGACCAGGAGCAGCCUGGA